GGCUCACCAAGGCUAAGACGGGUAGCUGGUCUGAGAGGAUGAUCAGCCACACUGGGACUGAGACACGGCCCAGACUCCUACGGGAGGCAGCAGUGGGGAAUAUUGGACAAUGGGCGCAAGCCUGAUCCAGCAAUGCCGCGUGAGUGAUGAAGGCCUUCGGGUUGUAAAGCUCUUUCGCACGCGACGAUGAUGACGGUAGCGUGAGAAGAAGCCCCGGCUAACUUCGUGCCAGCAGCCGCGGUAAUACGAAGGGGGCGAGCGUUGUUCGGAUUUACUGGGCGUAAAGGGCGCGUAGGCGGCGAUGAAAGUCAGGCGUGAAAGCCCCGGGCUCAACCUGGGAGGUGCGCUUGGGACUACAUUGCUGGAGUUCGGGAGAGGAGCGUGGAAUUCCCAGUGUAGAGGUGAAAUGCGUAGAUAUCGGGAGGAACACCUGUGGCGAAAGCGGCGCACUGGACCAUAACUGACGCUGAGGCGCGAAAGCUAGGGGAGCAAACAGGAUUAGAUACCCUGGUAGUCCUAGCCCUAAACGAUGAUUGCUUGGUGUAGCAGUACCCAAUCCUGCUGUGCCGCAGCUAACGCGAUAAGCAAUCCGCCUGGGGAGUACGGUCGC
rnacentral:rRNA from 1 species